rnacentral:rRNA from 1 species
UACGUAGGAGGCGAGCGUUGUCCGGAAUCAUUGGGCGUAAAGAGCGUGUAGGCGGCCCGGUAAGUCCGCUGUGAAAGUCGGGGGCUCAACCCUCGAAUGCCGGUGGAUACUGUCGGGCUAGAGUGCGGAAGAGGCGAGUGGAAUUCCUGGUGUAGCGGUGAAAUGCGCAGAUAUCAGGAGGAACACCAAUUGCGAAGGCAGCUCGCUGGGACGUAACUGACGCUGAGACGCGAAAGCGUGGGGAGCAAACAGG